rnacentral:lncRNA from 1 species
UGAAAUACCACCAGGAAUGCCUGGACACAGUAGACAAAGGUUGUUCAACUGGACGCCUUAGGAUACAUGCUUCCAAAAACAAAGUAGCUGAAAAGAAACUAGAAUAACAGGAUAUCAGAGCCAGAGGAGCAUUUGGAGCAGUAUUUGGUAUCUGUAUGAGAGAGGAAAGGAAAAAUGAAAAGAGCAUCUAUGUCAGGUCUUGCUGAUGGCUGAGUUUGGAGGGAUUGCUAAGUGGUGAUAGCCCAGGGGCAAACUGAGCUUCUGCUGGGAGGAUGAGCUGAAGCCUGAGCCUCCGGCUGGCUGAAGAGGCAAGUGCCGUCCACAAGUGAGAAGAAAACAACCCUGAACUUCCAGUCAGCCUGGAGUGCAGAUAGAAGGACCUGCUUAUGCCCAACCAGCAUCCGAUGACAUCAGCCCCUUUCUUCCUGAUCCCCUUUGUCCGGAGCAGAGUGAUGGCUUUUCACACCUCCCAGGGAGGAUGUGCUCAGCAUCAACCAUGCACACUCAGAAGCAGAGGGCUUAGAAGGAGAGGGCCCUUUGCAAAGAAAACCACCCCCUUACAACUCCAUGUCCCAGUCUUUUGAGAAGAUGCAGGAGAGCAGACUAUUGGAAGAACCCAGGAUAUGAGAAGUAGCAGAGGCCUCAGACAAUACUCACAAAUAGGGAAGAGAAAAGCAGUGGGAGAAUGAGCUAUCAUCAUAGACAGAGAAAUAAGGAGUGAGGGCCGCUAAGAGCCAUAGAUGUGAUUACCUUCCUACUCUAAGCUUGCAGGCCAGAGAAUCUGCAUGCCAG